UACGUAGGUGGCAAGCGUUAUCCGGAAUUAUUGGGCGUAAAGCGCGCGUAGGCGGUUUUUUACGUCUGCUGUGAAAGUCCACGGCUUAACCGCGGAGGGUCAGUGGAAACGGGAAAACUUGAGUGCAGUAGAGGAGAGUGGAAUUCCAGGUGUAGCGGUGAAAUGCGCAGAGAUAUGGAGGAACACCAGUGGCGAAGGCGAGUUUCUGGUCUGUAACUGACGCUGAUGUGCGAAAGCGUGGGGAUCAAACAGG
rnacentral:rRNA from 1 species